UAAAGGUUUGGUCCUGGCCUUUCCAACAACUCUAGCUUGACUUACACAUGCAAGUAUCCGCACCCCUGUGAGAAUGCCCUAUAGUUCCCUCCCCGGAAACAAGGAGCUGGUAUCAGGCUCACCCCUACAGCCCAUGACACCUUGCUUAGCCACGCCCCCAAGGGAGUCCAGCAGUGAUAAACAUUAAGCCAUAAGUGAAAACUUGACUUAGUCAAAGCUAAAAGGGCCGGUAAACCUCGUGCCAGCCACCGCGGUUACACGAGAGACCCAAGUUGUUAGACUUCGGCGUAAAGCGUGGUUAAGACCCCCUUUUACUAAAGCCAAACGCCUUCCCCGCUGUAAUACGCUCACGAAGGUAGGAAGCCCAAUCGCGAAAGUAGCUUUACUAGGCCUGAACCCACGAAAGCUAGGGUACAAACUGGGAUUAGAUACCCCACUAUGCCUAGCCAUAAACAUAGACAGUAAACGUACUUAACUGUCCGCCCGGGAACUACGAGCAUCAGCUUAAAACCCAAAGGACUUGGCGGUGCUUUAACCCCCCUAGAGGAGCCUGUUCUAGAACCGAUAAUCCCCGUUCAACCUCACCCUUCCUUGUUCUUCCCGCCUAUAUACCGCCGUCGUCAGUUUACCCUAUGAAGGAAAGACAGUAAGCACAAUUGGCACAGCCCGAAACGCCAGGUCGAGGUGUAGCGAAUGGAAGGGAAAGAAAUGGGCUACAUUCCUUAAUAUUAAGGCACACGAAUGAUAUGUUGAAAUACAUAACUGAAGGAGGAUUUAGCAGUAAGCAGAAAGUAGAGUGUCCUGCUGAAACUGGCCCUGAAGCGCGUACACACCGCCCGUCACUCUCCCCAAACUAAAAUCUAUCACUUAACUAAAAUCACACACCUGUAAAGGGGAGGCAAGUCGUAACAUGGUAAGUGUACCGGAAGGUGCGCUUGGAUUAGAAACAC
rnacentral:ncRNA from 1 species